ACGUAAACUGUCUGUCGACAAAUUAAUAGUAAUUUAACGUGUUACAAUGUUAUGGCUAUUAACUAUUGACCAAUAGGCAAUAAUGGUCUGUUCUACAAAUUAGUUUACGCCACCGUCACAGCCACAUGGUCUAGGGUUCAACGAGGGAGCGAUACGUUCCUAUAUGAUACACACCACAUAUUUUAAUAUCAUUGUGUUUUUUUUCAGGCAAUAUAAAAUUGUUAGAUAUCUAGUUUAAUAAUCGGGGUUUAAUAUUGACAAGGAAAAAUAUUCAAACAUAUCAAAUAAAAUAUGUAUUAAGAAAUUAAACAUUUUUUAAAGCCUGGGGGGGGCUAAGGCUCCAGUGCCCCCCCCUUCAAGCCGAGCCUGAUUGAUAGUGAAAGAACAAAACAGAUUGAAGAAAAUUGAAAGCGUUUAAUUCCAAUCAUAGAAUGUCUUAUAUUAUGAGGCCAACAGGAAAUAGAUUUAAGAGGACAUAGAGAUUAUGGUCUUAUUUGUUUCAGCAGUAUGUAUCUCAUCAAAAACAUAUAUGUAAAAUGAGAGCCAAGUUCAAUUUUAUAAUAUAUGCCUUAGUUGUUGACUUCAACGACAAAAGAAAGUCGUCUCAAUGGCUUAGCCACUAUGGGUGUUUGUUCAUCGUGGGGUUGUCAAUAUAAUUACAGACGGAGUACUGGAUGAAUUGGCAAAAAAAAAAAAAACAGAAAAAUAGAUUUAAUAAUAUAAUUAAAAAAAGGCAAUAUUAAUUUUCAUGUUUAAAAAUGUAGAUUUUUAUAGUGUUUGUUAAAAAAUUAGUUAGGUACAUCCCUCCCCAUGACAAAAUUAUUUGAUCGCUAAUGGUCUAUUGUAUUUACAAUUUGUUAUUACAUUUAAUUUAAUUUAAUAUAUUUAAAUAACUCCCUACACUACCACAAGCUUGCUUAAAGGUGAUACAUAAAUGUGUUAUAUUAUUUAUUGUAUACUUUUUUAUUAUAUGAAUGAUGUAUCAGAAGACAGAAAUAAACAAACAAAAAAAAGUAUUAUUAAAAACAAUAAAAUAGAAAUUUAGAAUUUAAUUUAAAUACUCGAUUAAAUUAUGUUAUUUCGACUAUCAUGUUUGAAUGUCUGAUGUCAUUGGUAACAUUACAACUCAUGACUGCAGUAUGUGUUUUACUAUUAGAUUUCGCUCUACCCAUUUUUAUCACUUUAUAUUCUAUAGCUAUAUUUCGAUUUUAAGCAAUAUUACAUUUUCAUUAUAAGUGGACGAUGUGAAAGUGAUAAGAGUUGAUGACAAACAUAAAUCCUUACAAACAAGUAACAUAUUAUUUAACAUUAUCAUCUCAUUAUUUGUUUCAUAGUAUAAAAAUAAUUAGAAAAAAUUAAAAUAAAAUAAAUAAAUACUAAAAUGUCUCUCAUAAAUGCGUUAAAUGUGUCACUUUUAUUCAAACCUCUCCGGAACGUUUCAAUGAAAUACCUGUAAUAGUUAUUAUAUUUAUAUAGGUAAUCUAUUAUGUUAUACCUUGGAAGUUGGAUGUAAGUUUGGAGUUAUACCACACAUACUUUUCACAAUUUUUAGUCUAUAAGCGCCACGAACUUUCAAUCCUUUGGGUACCUAUGUGCCUAAUCUUUAUUACCAUUAAGUCACGAUAAUAAAGAAAUAAAUUGGGUAUAGCAAAGUAAUUAAAUUAAAUAGCAAAUAUUUUAUUACUUUAGUAAAAACAAUU